UAUUAAAAAUUUUAUUCACUUUUAUUGUUAAAAACUGGUGUAGAUGAUAAAAUAACCAAACAAUUAUACAUGACACGCCAUAUGUAAUUCAUGUUGACGUACAAGGACCAAUUUUUAAUAGUAAAAAUGGAUGGAUUUUUUAAAA
rfam:Gossypium raimondii Chr11_contig_994, whole genome shotgun sequence.